CUACUACUCCUUCCGUUCCAAAUUACUUGUCGCUGAAAUGGAUGUAUCUAGAACUAAAAUACAUCUAGAUACAUCCAUAUGUGCGACAAAUAAUUCGGAACUGAGGCAAUACUUG
rfam:Triticum aestivum genome assembly, contig: Triticum_aestivum_CS42_TGACv1_scaffold_221546_3B